GCGCAGAUAACUUUCACGCACCGUUUCAAUGCUUUUUUCAAGGGUUACUGCCUUUUUCGUCGUUUUAGUGCUUAUUAUGGCUAUAACCAAAGUUUUCGCACAGUGGGGAUACGAUUAUCCAGAAGAGUGCCCGGUCGACGGUCAAGAUUGUUACAGCGAUGAAGACUGCCGUUAUCCGCAAUGCAGCUGUAUGCCUGGCCGUCAUAUCAAUAGCGCUGGUGUAAGGGUAGGCUACUGCGCAUGAAAGUGUUCUUGCACAUGACACCGAAUGGAGUAAAUAAUAAAAAUUAUGAUUGAUUCAAUGUUCCCAAGAAUAAAUGAGAACACGGAA
rnacentral:lncRNA from 1 species